rnacentral:rRNA from 1 species
UGCAAGUCGAACGAAGUCUUCGGACUUAGUGGCGGACGGGUGAGUAACACGUGGGAACGUGCCUUUAGGUUCGGAAUAACUCAGGGAAACUUGUGCUAAUACCGAAUGUGCCCUUCGGGGGAAAGAUUUAUCGCCUUUAGAGCGGCCCGCGUCUGAUUAGCUAGUUGGUGAGGUAAAGGCUCACCAAGGCGACGAUCAGUAGCUGGUCUGAGAGGAUGAUCAGCCACAUUGGGACUGAGACACGGCCCAAACUCCUACGGGAGGCAGCAGUGGGGAAUCUUGCGCAAUGGGCGAAAGCCUGACGCAGCCAUGCCGCGUGAAUGAUGAAGGUCUUAGGAUUGUAAAAUUCUUUCACCGGGGACGAUAAUGACGGUACCCGGAGAAGAAGCCCCGGCUAACUUCGUGCCAGCAGCCGCGGUAAUACGAAGGGGGCUAGCGUUGCUCGGAAUUACUGGGCGUAAAGGGAGCGUAGGCGGACAUUUAAGUCAGGGGUGAAAUCCCGGGGCUCAACCUCGGAAUUGCCUUUGAUACUGGGUGUCUUGAGUGUGAGAGAGGUAUGUGGAACUCCGAGUGUAGAGGUGAAAUUCGUAGAUAUUCGGAAGAACACCAGUGG